GAAAGGAUAGCUAAUACCGGAUAAAGUCAAAGUGUCUUCGGACGUUUUGAUGAAAGACAGCCUCUGAUAUAAGCUGUCGUUUGAAGAUGAGUCCGCGCACCAUUAGCUGGCUGGUGGGGUAACGGCCUACCAGGGCGACGAUGGUUAGCUGGUCUGAGAGGAUGAUCAGCCACACUGGAACUGACACACGGUCCAGACUCCUACGGGAGGCAGCAGUGAGGAAUUUUGCGCAAUGGGGGCAACCCUGACGCAGCAACGCCGCGUGAGUGAAGAAGGCCUUUGGGUCGUAAAGCUCUGUCAACAGGGAAGAAAUUAUUCAUCAUUAAUAGUGGUGAGUAUUGACGGUACCUGUGGAGGAAGCAUCGGCUAACUUCGUGCCAGCAGCCGCGGUAAUACGGGGGAUGCAAGCGUUAUUCGGAAUCAUUGGGCGUAAAGGGCACGCAGGCGGUUUUGUCAGUCAGAUGUGAAAGCCCGGGGCUCAACCCCGGACGUGCAUUUGAAACAGCAAAACUUGAGUACGGGAGAGGAAAGCGGAAUUCCUGGUGUAGAGGUGAAAUUCGUA
rnacentral:rRNA from 1 species